rnacentral:tRNA from 1 species
GCCUUCGUGGUGUAGUGGUCAGCACACUGAGCCGGUAUUUCAGAGGUCCGCGGUUCGAUUCCCGGUGAAGGCG